rnacentral:rRNA from 1 species
GCGGGUGCUAUACAUGCAGUCGAGCGGACAGAUGGGAGCUUGCUCCCUGAUGUUAGCGGCGGACGGGUGAGUAACACGUGGGUAACCUGCCUGUAAGACUGGGAUAACUCCGGGAAACCGGGGCUAAUACCGGAUGCUUGUUUGAACCGCAUGGUUCAAACAUAAAAGGUGGCUUCGGCUACCACUUACAGAUGGACCCGCGGCGCAUUAGCUAGUUGGUGAGGUAAUGGCUCACCAAGGCAACGAUGCGUAGCCGACCUGAGAGGGUGAUCGGCCACACUGGGACUGAGACACGGCCCAGACUCCUACGGGAGGCAGCAGUAGGGAAUCUUCCGCAAUGGACGAAAGUCUGACGGAGCAACGCCGCGUGAGUGAUGAAGGUUUUCGGAUCGUAAAGCUCUGUUGUUAGGGAAGAACAAGUACCGUUCGAAUAGGGCGGUACCUUGACGGUACCUAACCAGAAAGCCACGGCUAACUACGUGCCAGCAGCCGCGGUAAUACGUAGGUGGCAAGCGUUGUCCGGAAUUAUUGGGCGUAAAGGGCUCGCAGGCGGUUUCUUAAGUCUGAUGUGAAAGCCCCCGGCUCAACCGGGGAGGGUCAUUGGAAACUGGGGAACUUGAGUGCAGAAGAGGAGAGUGGAAUUCCACGUGUAGCGGUGAAAUGCGUAGAGAUGUGGAGGAACACCAGUGGCGAAGGCGACUCUCUGGUCUGUAACUGACGCUGAGGAGCGAAAGCGUGGGGAGCGAACAGGAUUAGAUACCCUGGUAGUCCACGCCGUAAACGAUGAGUGCUAAGUGUUAGGGGGUUUCCGCCCCUUAGUGCUGCAGCUAACGCAUUAAGCACUCCGCCUGGGGAGUACGGUCGCAAGACUGAAACUCAAAGGAAUUGACGGGGGCCCGCACAAGCGGUGGAGCAUGUGGUUUAAUUCGAAGCAACGCGAAGAACCUUACCAGGUCUUGACAUCCUCUGACAAUCCUAGAGAUAGGACGUCCCCUUCGGGGGCAGAGUGACAGGUGGUGCAUGGUUGUCGUCAGCUCGUGUCCUGAGAUGUUGGGUUAAGUCCCGCAACGAGCGCAACCCUUGAUCUUAGUUGCCAGCAUUCAGUUGGGCACUCUAAGGGGACUGCCCGGUGACAAACCCGGAGGAAAGUGGGGGAUAACGUCAAAAAAUAAUGCCCCCUAUGAACCGGGGGUAACACCCGGCUUAAAUGGAACAAAAAAAAGGGGCGCGAAAACCCCCAGGGUAAGCCAAUUCCCACAAAUUUGUUCUCUGUUUCGAAUUCCAACUUGCAAUCCAACUGCGGGAAAAUGGGAAUCCCUAUAUAUCCCGGAUAAACAUUCCCGCCGGGAAUAAAUUUCCCCGGGCUUGGAACCACCGCCGCUCCACCCCCCAAAAUUUGUAACCCCC